GUACCAUUUACCAUAAUUUGGUCAAAUAGCAUGUUUUGUAAGCAAAGACUGGGUUUGAUGCACGAUAUGCACUCAGCUCUGCACUGAUAGCCGUGGCGUUGCUGGCACUGGCUGUGCUGCCGCCGUGAUGCCCAGGAGCUGUUCCCAAAGUCCCCGUGAGCUGUGGCGAUGUCUCCAGCCCGUGCCCGCGCUCCUCGUGGUACGUAACGUCCCCCCCAGCGCGAGGGCUCGGUACCACGCGAGUCCCGACAACCGAGACAGGGCGUUAACAGGUGAUGCACAACCACCUGUGUGAAGCCGCUGGGCUCUCUCAGGGCACCCCCCCUCGGUACACCCAGCUCCCCGGGGGACUCCGCUCCUCGGCUUCUUCCUCGGUGUACGGAGUGGGCAGGGAGCCCGGCCUCACGGGGCAUAAGCUGAAGUGGCGGCCCCGAGCCCUGCGGCCCGCCCCGCGCCGCCGCGGGUGGCGGGGGAGGUGCCGCUGCCGCCGAGGCGGGGCCCCGCUCCGCUCCACCGCGCCGCGCCCGGCCCGCACCGUUCCGCUCCGUCCGCGGCCCCGUUCCGGCUCCGCGGCUCCAGCGCGGCGGUGCUGCCGCGCUCCCCCGCCGCGAUUCCGGGCGCCUCCCGCCUCCCAGCAUGAAUGUGAGGAGGGUGGAGAGCAUCUCGGCUCAGCUGGAGGAGGCCAGCUCUACAGGCGCAAGUCUCGCAACUUGGCGUGGGGCUUGCAGGGGGAGCUGCCUGCUUGCAUGGGGUAAAUGCAUCUGUGCUGUUUUGGAAAAAUGUGUGCGCCUGUGGGGACGGUAAGCAAACGCUUAAUGCCAGGGGUCUCGGGCUCAGACGAGCUGAACGCUUUGCAAAAACCGGCCGUAAGGUGCCCGCUGUGGCUGACCUGGUACUUUUGCCUUCACUGAAAAGAGCCAGGGCUGAGAAUGGUCCUCCGGGGGCACCACGCACCGAACUCCCGGGAGGUAAUUUGAUCAGUCCCACGUUCACGUUUCUGCUUUAGUCUCCUUUGCAUCUUCUCGAUGCUUAAAUAACUACCUGAUGGAGAGCAGUGUGCUCUGGUAAGCUAGAGGCUAUCUGCUGCCUUUCUCUCCUCAGCGUUGCAAUGUGGAAUACACCUGAGAAGGGUUGCAAAAUAACUUGUGUUUUGGGGAGGAGAAAAGCAAACUUUGCUGUCUUCCAUCCUUACCAGGGUGUUAAGAGCUGUACUCUCAACAUACGAAGGAAGCAUUUGUUUAGAAACAAAGCUGUAUGGAUUCAGUGUGCGUAACAUUCUGCUGCCAUGUUUCAUAUAAAGUGGUUAAGCAGAGGAAGAUUGGAGGAUUAAUGAAUAAUUUGCAAAAUAGCCAGUCAGAAAUAAGAAAAGUUGUUCUCUAAGACAGGAUAGAAAACUGUUUCAUGUUUCCUUUUGUGUUGUUAGAUUUCUCGUAAACUGUGUGAUGCCAGUGCACAGUAACAGCUUUGUUGUGAAGUUGCUUGAGUGACAGCAGUGUUCCACCCUUUGCCUGUUUUCUCAUGUUUUAAAGUAGUCUGCUUGUCAGAAGAGGCUCAGCCUCAUGUCCUCUGUUGGAUUGUGCUCAGCUUUUCACUCUCCUUACUUCCCUAGAUGCACUUGCAUGUUAGGGCUCAUAGCCCUUCAUAUAGGGUACAGGAUCAUUUGCCUUGGGGAUAGAGAACUUUUGUUCUGAGUGUGCAAUUAGUUUUAGGCUACCAGCUCAAUUGAUAAACUAUCUGUGCAGAAGUUAAAUCUUCCAAAAAAAAAAAGAAAAGAAAAGAAAAGAAAAACCAUAAACUACAGGAAUCCAGCAAAGGAUUCAGCCACUAAUGUGAUUCUUUUUACUGCUUUUCCAGUCACAGCCCCAAAAUUGGAAUUAAGGCAUUUUCCUCUACAUGUACCCCUGUCAGCCUUCCAGCUCUUCUCUAUUACGUAUCAGAAAGUCACUGUUUUUCCAUCCCAGUGUUCUUCAUCACUGACAAGUGCUGGCACCUGUGCUACACCAACAGGACUGGUUGGCUAAACACAACUCAGGUCAUAACUCAGACACAGUGGAAUUUGCACAGCUGCUAUUGAGGCAUAAUUUGUUUUAUGGGUCGUUGCUGUAGAUGUUGAAGCAUAAAGUGCUUGCAGCUUAAUGUUUCAUCCUAUGGGUUUAGAUAGUAGUAACAGGAAAGUGUCUUAUGUAAACUGGGGAAAUAUGAUCUGAAUCAGUGCCAUACAAAUAACAUGAUAUAUCAAGAUGGUAUUUUUAAAUAAAAUGUUUUCAGUUGAGCUGUAUAUUGUUGUG
ensembl:lncRNA